rnacentral:rRNA from 1 species
GAUGAACGCUGGCGGCGUGCCUAAUACAUGCAAGUCGAGCGAACAGACGAGGAGCUUGCUCCUCUGAUGUUAGCGGCGGGCGGGUGAGUAACACGUGGAUAACCUACCUAUAAGACUGGGAUAACUUCGGGAAACCGGAGCUAAUACCGGAUAACAUGUUGAACCGCAUGGUUCAACAGUGAAAGACGGUUUUGCUGUCACUUAUAGAUGGAUCCGCGCCGCAUUAGCUAGUUGGUAAGGUAACGGCUUACCAAGGCAACGAUGCGUAGCCGACCUGAGAGGGUGAUCGGCCACACUGGAACUGAGACACGGUCCAGACUCCUACGGGAGGCAGCAGUAGGGAAUCUUCCGCAAUGGGCGAAAGCCUGACGGAGCAACGCCGCGUGAGUGAAGAAGGUCUUCGGAUCGUAAAACUCUGUUAUUAGGGAAGAACAAAUGUGUAAGUAACUAUGCACGUCUUGACGGUACCUAAUCAGAAAGCCACGGCUAACUACGUG